GACGAACGCUGGCGGCGUGCUUAACACAUGCAAGUCGAGCGGUAAGGCCCUUUCGGGGGUACACGAGCGGCGAACGGGUGAGUAACACGUGGGUGACCUGCCCUCAGCUCUGGGAUAAGCCCGGGAAACUGGGUCUAAUACCGGAUAUGACUUCAUGACGCAUGUUGUGGGGUGGAAAGCCUUGUGCGGCUGAGGAUGGGCCCGCGGCCUAUCAGCUUGUUGGUGGGGUGAUGGCCUACCAAGGCGACGACGGGUAGCCGGCCUGAGAGGGCGACCGGCCACACUGGGACUGAGACACGGCCCAGACUCCUACGGGAGGCAGCAGUGGGGAAUCUUGCGCAAUGGGCGAAAGCCUGACGCAGCGACGCCGCGUGAGGGAUGACGGCCU
rnacentral:rRNA from 1 species